AAAAUAUGUUGAUUAUAAACUGUUUUUUAAAAUUGUUUUAACAAAAUUUAAAUUUCUUUAAAUUAAUUUUGCCAUUGGGCUACAAUUGCUAUUAUAACAGAAAAGGUUUAGCCUUUUUUAUACUAUAAGCCAUAAAAUUUGGUAAAACUAUGCAGUGUAGCAGCAACAGCUAAGCUUGGAGAAUUUAGGACUUUGGUAGAAAUACUUUAGCUUUAGUUAUUGAUAGUAACAUGUUACUAUGUUUUUUACAAAAAGUUAGAAUCUUUCUCAGUUUUCUCUCGUGACUAUCCAGUGCUUCAAAGUAGAGAAACUUACCUGAAUAGCACGUUGCUGUUUUGCAAUCCCCCAUCCUGUCACUAGCAUUGGACCCAUUAUUAGGACCCAACAAUUUAUCUUUGGGCACGCAGCUGCAUAGAUUUUAAUUUGUUUAGUGUCCAAUUUCACUUCUAAUAUGGCUAGACGAGUUUUCAGUUGUUUUGCCGGGAAAAAAAAGGGGCUCCUAUGACUAUUUGCCUGCUGCAUUUAUCAUAAAAAAAUGCUUAGGCAUUCAUAAUAUCAAAUGAAAAUAAUCAUUAUGAGCUAGCAAGGGUUUGUGUUGAUGGGCUCUUUUCCUAAUAACAUUCUUGAAAAGAGAUGCAACGAGAGCUGCUUUUCUUGGUGUAAGACAAAUUUUACCAUCAAUUUGGUUCUACCUCUAUGAGUAUAAUUUCUUUUGGCAAUUUGGCCUUUUGGGAUUCCUUCUUCUCGCAGCAAUAUGGUCUCCACGCUUUUUCUGUAUAUAUCUUCAGUUAAUGACAAUCCAGCUUUAGCAAUUUUUUGUUCAUUUAUUUGGUUAUGUGACAUUUCUCUUAUUAAUACAAAGCGUUUAAGUUUUUUAUAAACUUCAAGGGGUGAGGAUUAUGCUUGUAGAGGAAUUAGUUGAACAUUUUUCAGCAUAGUCUGUUGCCACACGAGAUUUCCAUCUAUCUUGGUAAAAUACAUAAAAACUUGACGUAGGCUGAACCAUAGAUGUAAAGGCAAGAACCUUCUCCUCUUUUGCUGGAAUAAAUUAAUUUCAAAGUUGCCUCCAUAGACAUAAAUGCAUGUACCCCACUUUUGUUAUCGAAGUUACCAAGUUUAUCUUGUUUUGCACAUAGAUCGGAGCCCUUCGAUGAUGCAUCUUUCGACGAAUGGGUGGAUUUAGCUGAAGCGCCUGCUUUACCAGCAAGUUUGAAUUUAUACAAGGAGCUAAAGCAGUUGGGAUUUACAAUUUUUUUAUUGACUGGGCGGGGUGAAUAUCAAAGGAAUGUCACAGGAAAAAAUCUUCUAUUUGCAGGAUAUGGCGAUUGGGAAAGGCUAAUUUUGAGGCAAACUUCGGAUCGAGGCAAGUCAGCUACUCUGUACAAAUCUCAGAGGAGACUGGAGUUGGUAAAUGAAGGCUAUAGAAUACAUGGUAGCUCUGGAGAUCAGUGGAGUGACUUAUUGGGGUUUGCAGUGGCAGAGAGGUCCUUUAAACUCCCAAAUCCAAUGUAUUAUAUUCAAUAAAAACACAGAACAAUUUUGUAAUUUGAUGGCACUUGUUUGCCACGGUUGUCUACUAGACUACAGUGGCAUUGUUGUAACAUUCUGUUUAGCGAUAAUUUUAGAUCAAAUUUGGAUUGCCCAGCAUGGCUCACACAAGAUGAAACUUUCAAUACUGAAUUUAUCUGGCCUCACACUAAGAUAAGCACAUAAAUACUUGCUGCUGCUGGUGACCCUAUGAACUUGAGUAACAUGGGAAGUCCACAAUACAGGCUUAUGGAUGAAUUAGAGAAGCAUGAUAUCUUGCGGACAGAAGAUCAUCAUUUCACACACAUAUCACCUGGUAAAGCAAACAUUACUUUUUACUAUUAAUGAUAAGGUAUGACCACUUUUAGCCAGUCACAUUUUGUUCAUUAAAGUAUUUCAAUUAGUAAUUAACAAGAAGAAUCACAAACGAUACAAUUUUCUGGGUUUUCUUAUCCAUGAAAGAUUGAUCUAUAGUUGUAAAUCAUAAUUGCUAUUAAUUAAUGAGGAAACCAUCACCAACCUGUUGUACAAUAUUGGCAACACUAACAAUCUGCCUCCCUCUUUCACGGAUAUGACGGGCCUAGAUUAGCAUCUAUUGUUACCCCGAGUGACCCACAAACAACAGGUUGUGUAGCAGGAGGUACUCUGAGACAACUCAAUCCUUGUCCUGGUAUAGCCGAACACUCUGGUUGAGGUCUUUGCAUAACUCUUCCAGGAAUACAGUUCAAAGAGAAAUCAAAACCCACAUUCCUAAUGAACAACUUGGUACAUUCUGGACUAAACCCAGAAAAGAAAUUAUAAGCAACAGUCAAAUUCAGGAGGCUUCUCAGAGAACAAACCAGGUCAGGCAGUUCACCAGAGAGCUUGUUAUGUGCCAAAUUGAGAACUUCAAUCUCACUGAGACAAGAUACUGUGUCUGGCAAAUGGCCCAUCAGUGAAUUGUAGCUUACAUCCAAGACUUCCAUCUCUGUAAAGAGCCCAACUCCCUCUGGAAUGCAGCCUGUUAACUGAUUAUUGAGAAACAAAAUCUCCUUCAAUUUAGAACUCAUUAGACCAAAGCUAGCUGGAAUGCUUCCAGUGAACUUGUUAUUAGCCAAGUUUAUCACAGAAGCAGGAGAGUUACCCAAAUUUUGAGGAAUUUGACCAGAAAAUUGAUUAUUGUUGAGGAAAAUUGCAUCUAGUCUCUUGUCGAAAAGAUCUUCAGGAAUGGAUCCUGAAAAGCUGUUGAACCUAAGGUCUAAGUAAAUGAGAUUAGGAAUGUACAAAGUAACUGCAGGGAAAGGACCUGAAAAGUGGUUGUUACUCAGGUCUAACUCCUGGAGAGAAGUCAGGUCUUUGAAAGUAUCUGGAAUUGUGCCUGAAAACCUGUUGCUGUUGAGAUGAAGAAGAGACAUAUCUAUAAGGACAGAGAGUUCUUUAACAAGAUUCCCUUGGAGAUUUGCAUGGUUGAGAUCUAUGCCUGCAACAACUGGACCAGGGGGGGCAGCCAAUCCAUCACCUCGAGGAACUGCACAAAAAACUCCUUUGUAAGAACACACAUCAGUGCCAACCCAAGUGUCCAAAAUCUUUAAUGGGUCAUCCGUGAUUGCUGAUUUCCAUGAUUGUAGAGCAGCAUAAGCACUGUUGAGGUUUGAAUAUGAAGACCCGGAUGGUGGUUGGUCGUUGAUUCCACCACCAAUCCACACGCCACCACCUGCAUUGCCUAUGCCAACACCAACACCCACACCAAUGGCUGCUCCUCUUGGCAUUGCCUGGAAGAGGAGGAGAAAAGCUAGAAGCCAGCUCUUCUCCAUUAUUUUCAGCUGAGGCUAUGGAGAUGUUUAUUUGAUGGGUUUGCUUGAAAUGUUGUCUAAAAGAGGACACAGAAUUGAAGAGAGAAAAUGGCGUGGGGUUAAUUGGUUCGGAUUUGGUCCUCAAUGUCCUUUU
rnacentral:misc_RNA from 1 species